CACAUAACCACCAUACCAGGAAAUGCUUUUCAAGGGAUGAAUAAUGAAUCUGUAACACUCAAACUAUAUGGAAAUGGAUUUGAAGAAGUACAAAGUCAUGCAUUCAAUGGGACGACACUGACUUCACUGGAGCUAAAGGAAAACGUACAUCUGGAGAAGAUGCACAAUGGAGCCUUCCGUGGGGCCACAGGGCCGAAAACCUUGUGAGUAGAAUGGUGCUGCCUCCCCUCCCUGCCCAGUGUACCCCAACAGGACUGCUUAGGGUGUCCCUCCACAUCAUCCCCAAGCUGAUAUGUGAGACAUCAGCCUCUACACCUGAAAAGGCUGCUGUUGGAAAGACAAAGUGUAUCACAGCUGCCAUAAUAAAGUACCCCAAACCGA
rnacentral:lncRNA from 10 species